UUUGUCAUCCUCCAGCCUUGCCCCGCCCUAAAAAGAGCCAGUACAAACCAGCGCAGCCGACACAGCAGCCUAUUGCUGGAGCUUCAGGCACCUGAUAAAGUAAGAGUUUCAUCACCACUUUCUGUGAAGAAAAUCUGGAAAAAAGAGGUGAUAUAAUGAUGCCCUUCUCAUGAGGCUGAACUAGAAAAUGGAGAAAAUAAAUGAGAACCACAGUUAAAUCUCCUUUCACAAACAAUAACCCACAUGUUGCCAACAAGGAUCAUAGAAUUCUAUAAAUUUGGGGUGUGAGGAGCGGUGGACAUUUCCAGAAUGACUUAUGCAGCAAAAACAAAAGGAAUCAACAAAACUUGAUUUUUAAAAAUAUUUUCAUCCAAAAACACUUGAAUGUGAAUUUGUCAAGCUUUUUUUUUUUUUUUUUUUUUUUUUUUGGUACCAUCCAGAAUACUGUUUACCAUAGUUGGGCUUGCAGAUGGAGAGACUGCGGCCUUUAGAUUCAGUUGCAAUAGUGACUUCCACUUACAGUAUACAUCUUUCAUUCAAGAAUAUCCCCUGACUAAAUCUGCUAACAGCCAGACACAUGACUCACUCCUCCCACCACGGAUUACCUUAGACAUGCAAACACUCCUUAGGUGGAGAGCGCAACUGUGUGGGAGACAAUGCAACUGUUUAAGAAUAGGAAAUGAAAAAGGUGGCUGUAGCCAGUGAAUACUUUGGGGGAAUUUGAGGAGGAAGAAUGUAAUUACCCUAAUUGGAAUCUAACUUGGUCUUAGCCAGGAAUACCUUUCCUCUUUUCAAAAGAGCCUUGGGUUUCCUUAUUGGCUAAGUUAAAGCUUUUAAGAUCUCAUUUGAUAUGUGUAAUGGCACAAAAUCUCUAGGAGCCUGCAGAGACUUUUGGUUUAAGACCGCCUCAAAAGACCUGCUAAUGAAUCACACUGCCUGCUAUCUCUGGAAUUCCUUAGAGAUCAUUUGUCCAAGGAAAAGAUUUUUUUUUCAGGUCUUUAUAUAACUCCUUUUAGCCAGAAAUUUGGUAAACUCCAGGUAUUAUUAAGUAUCCUUAGGAUACAAGGGUUUAAAUGGUAUUUUUUUUUUAAAAAGGUGUUAGGGUUGUAGCUCUCUAACCUGUGGUCCUAAAUUAAAUCUAUGGUCAAGAAUUAAAAGAACAAACCAAAUGGUUUAAGCAGUUUCGUCCAUUUUUCCUAGCAUUAGUGGUAUAUUCCAAGAUUAAUUUUCCUUAAACAGGGACACUAAUACAUUGUUGGUGGAAUUGUGAAUACAUCCAACCAU